CCUGACUGCUAUCGGAUUGAUACUAAGCCAUGCGAGUCAUUGUAGUAAUACAAGGCAGACGGCUCAGUAACGCGUAGUCAACCUACCCUAUGGACGUGGAUAACCUCGGGAAACUGAGAAUAAUACACGAUAGAACAUUAUGCCUGGAAUGGUUUAUGUUCCAAAUGAUUUAUCGCCGUAGGAUGGGACUGCGGCCUAUCAGUUUGUUGGUGAGGUAAUGGCCCACCAAGACUAUUACAGGUACGGGCUCUGAGAGGAGUGGCCCGGAGAUGGGUACUGAGACACGGACCCAGGCCCUAUGGGGCGCAGCAGGCGAGAAAACUUUGCAAUGUGCGAAAGCACGACAAGGUUAAUCCGAGUGGUUUCUGCUAAAGGAACCUUUUGACAGUCCUAGAAACACUGUUGAAUAAGGGGUGGGCAAGUUCUGGUGUCAGCCGCCGCGGUAAAACCAGCACCUCAAGUUGUCAGGAUGAUUAUUGGGCCUAAAGCAUCCGUAGCCGGCUCUGUUAGUUUUCGGCUAAAUCUGUGCGCUUAACGUACAGGUUGCCGGGAAUACUGCAGAGCUAGGGAGUGGGAGAGGUAGACGGUACUCGGUAGGAAGGGGUAAAAUCCUUUGAUCUAUUGAUGACCACCUGUGGCGAAGGCGGUCUACCAGAACACGUCCGACGGUGAGGGAUGAAAGCUGGGGGAGCAAACCGGAUUAGAUACCCGGGUAGUCCCAGCUGUAAACUAUGCAAACUCAGUGAUGCAUUGGCUUGUGGCCAAUGCAGUGCUGCAGGGAAGCCGUUAAGUUUGCCGCCUGGGAAGUACGUACGCAAGUAUGAAACUUAAAGGAAUUGGCGGGGGAGCACCACAAGGGGUGAAGCCUGCGGUUC
rnacentral:rRNA from 1 species